GAUGAACGCUGGCGGCGUGCCUAAUACAUGCAAGUCGAGCGAACAGAUGAGGAGCUUGCUCCUCUGACGUUAGCGGCGGACGGGUGAGUAACACGUGGAUAACCUACCUAUAAGACUGGGAUAACUUCGGGAAACCGGAGCUAAUACCGGAUAAUAUAUUGAACCGCAUGGUUCAAUAGUGAAAGACGGUUUUGCUGUCACUUAUAGAUGGAUCCGCGCCGCAUUAGCUAGUUGGUAAGGUAACGGCUUACCAAGGGAACGAUGCGUAUCCGACCUGAGAGGGUGAUCGGCCACCUUGGAACUGAGACAGGCUCAAGACUCCUACGAGAGGCAGCAGUAGGGAAUCUUACGCAAUGGGCGAAAGCCUGACGGAGCAACGCCGCGUGAGUGAUGAAGGUCUUCGGAUCGUAAAACUCUGUUAUUAGGGAAGAACAAAUGUGUAAGUAACUAUGCACGUCUUGACGGUACCUAAUCAGAAAGCCACGGCUAACUACGUG
rnacentral:rRNA from 1 species